AGUGAACGCUGGCGGCAGGCCUAAUACAUGCAAGUCGAACGGCAGCACAGCAGAGCUUGCUCUGUGGGUGGCGAGUGGCGGACGGGUGAGGAAUACAUGGGAAUCUGCCCAGUCGUGGGGGAUAACGUAUGGAAACGUACGCUAAUACCGCAUGCGCCCUACGGGGGAAAGCCGGGGACCGCAAGGCCUGGCGCGAUUGGAUGAGCCCAUGUUCGAUUAGCUAGUUGGCGGGGUAAAGGCCCACCAAGGCGACGAUCGAUAGCUGGUCUGAGAGGAUGAUCAGCCACACUGGAACUGAGACACGGUCCAGACUCCUACGGGAGCAGCAGUAGGGAAUAUUGGACAAUGGGGGCAACCCUGAUCCAGCCAUGCCGCGUGAGUGAAGAAGGCCCUCGGGUUGUAAAGCUCUUUUGUCCGGAAAGAAAGCAAUCGGUUAAUACCCGGUUGUUCUGACGGUACCGGAAGAAUAAGCACCGGCUAACUUCGUGCC
rnacentral:rRNA from 1 species